ensembl:lncRNA
UUGUGUGUGGGGUCAUGGGAGGUGAUCUACUCGGGUUCAUGAAGACAGUCACACAUAUCUUUCCAGCUGUGUGCCCCUGGCAAUAGUCACAUUUUAUAUCUUUUGUUUAUAGGAUGCUGUGUUUGUACAAGCGUGUGUGCGUGUGAGAGACACAGAGAGACACAGAGAGACACAGAGAGAGACAGACAGACAGAUAGAACUCAUGUACCCAGGAGAAAGUGCGUGAAACAGAUGGUGCUCUGCUGUCAGAAAAGUGACUGCGCUCUCUUCUAAACAUUAGCAUGAAGCCUGUGACUGAGUGCAGCACUAACAGAUCAUUAGCACUGGUGUCACCCAGGAAUGAUGCCAGAGGGAGAGAGAGAGGGCGGGAGGGCGGGAGGAAAUGUGGCUUGGCAGGAACAGUGGUGAGGGAGAGGUGAAGAGAGACUGAGGGGAUGAGAACGGUACAGAAAAAAAAAGGAUGAAGAGACUGAUAAUUAAGAUGGAUUGACUGAGAUCACCGAUGUCUUUAGGAUGGGGAUAGAGCUGAUGUGACCACUUGUUAGCCAACCUGUGUGUGUGUGUGUGUGUGUGUGCAUGUUUGAGUUUAAAGUCAGGCUGCUCGUCACUCUAUCGACUUACUGUUGAGAUGUAAAAAGUCAACAAGCUGGCUCCAAAACCUCCAGAAGGGUAGCAGCAUUUGAGUGGUGUGUAUGUGUGUGUCUGUGCACACUUUUAAAGAUAAGAUCAAACUAACAUGUUUAUUCCAUUCAAAUAUUAUUACCCUUCCCGCAAGUCUGAUUCCUCUUACACGUGUACGUCUGUUAACACUCCAGGCUACCUGUCAAGUCAGUUACCACUAAUUAAGUGUUGUGAUUGACACCAGUGUUCCAGCUGUAUCCCAUCAUGCACCUCUUCGCAGUGAAGGGAACAUAAGGGUUGGCCUCAGGGAUAGACUUGAUAGACUCAAUCGGAACAGAUUGUCUUACAGAAUAAACAGUGCCUCAGAAUCUGUCUCAAUCCAACGAGUUUCCCCUCACCUCAUCAGAAUUUAAAUCAACUCCUUGACUCCUUGAUUUGAUUUGCACUCUUAACAGUCUCAUGCACGCAAACAGUAAGGGCAUUUGAGCAAAGCAUUUCUCAUAUUCUGUUAUUUUUCAGGCCAAAACGUGAGUCAUUUCAUAUGUACAGUGUCUGUCAGUGCAACACCAUAUUGAAUACCUAGUGUGCUAGAAUUGUAGUUUUUGAAAGACCAGGUUUUUGGUCGACUUUCUUGAAAACUUCGAAGGACAAAUCAAGGUAAUGGGUGUGCAUUCAACCCAGCAACCCUACCUUGCAACAGGUCUUCACAAUUACUGCACCCUACAGCGCAAUUAUCCCACUCCUAGUCCUCCUCCAAUCAGGUCACAAUUAGUUCAAACUAUCUAAUAAGUCACUGUCAGGUGUCUGUCAUCGUAGUGUGUGGCUCCUGAGGGACCAGUUGAGGUUUUUUGUAGUCAUGCAGGUUCCCCUGGGUUCCUCUUGGUUCCUAGGUCUCAGCAAAUCCUGAUGACCCUCCUGAUGUAUGUGUGUGUUUGAGACCCCUGCC